rnacentral:rRNA from 1 species
AUUGAACGCUGGCGGCAUGCCUUACACAUGCAAGUCGAACGGCAGCACGGGAGCAAUCCUGGUGGCGAGUGGCGAACGGGUGAGUAAUACAUCGGAACGUGCCCAGUAGUGGGGGAUAAACCGGCGAAAGCCGGACUAAUACCGCAUACGACCUACGGGUGAAAGCGGGGGAUCGCAAGACCUCGCGCUAUCGGAGCGGCCGAUGUCAGAUUAGCUAGUUGGUGGGGUAAAGGCCUACCAAGGCGACGAUCUGUAGCUGGUCUGAGAGGACGACCAGCCACACUGGGACUGAGACACGGCCCAGACUCCUACGGGAGGCAGCAGUGGGGAAUUUUGGACAAUGGGCGCAAGCCUGAUCCAGCUAUGCCGCGUGCGGGAAGAAGGCCUUCGGGUUGUAAACCGCUUUUGUCAGGGAAGAAACGCUCCGGGCUAAUACCACGGAGUAAUGACGGUACCUGAAGAAUAAGCACCGGCUAACUACGUG